rnacentral:rRNA from 1 species
GUGAGGAAUUUUCCGCAAUGGGCGAAAGCCUGACGGAGCAAUGCCGCGUGAAGGAUGAAGGCCUAUGGGUUGUAAACUUCUUUUCUCAGAAAAGAAUUAUGACGGUAUCUGAGGAAUAAGCAUCGGCUAACUCUGUGCCAGCAGCCGCGGUAAGACAGAGGAUGCAAGCGUUAUCCGGAAUGAUUGGGCGUAAAGCGUCUGUAGGUUGUUUAAAAAGUAUUCUGUCAAAGAUUAGGGCUUAACCCUAGAUAGGCAGAAUAAACUUUUAAGCUAGAGUUUGGUAGAGGCAGAGGGAAUUCCCGGUGGAGCGGUGAAAUGCGUAGAUAUCGGGAGGAACACCAAAGGCGAAGGCACUCUGCUGGGCCAAUACUAACACUGAGAGACAAAAGCGAGGGGAGCAAAUGGGAUUAGAUACCCGGGUAGUCC